ACGUCUGUGAUGUCACAUUCGGCCUUUUUGGCGGCAUAAUAUGGCAUAUGGCAGGCUCGGAGUGCACGAAGCGGUGGAUCGCUUAUUUUUCGGGCUUUUGCUUCUCGUAAGUAUACUUCGUCUUUGCGUUUGAUGUGCAUCUACUACGCGUAGCUAAUCUUUCGACUGCAUGAUGCCAUAUAUAGGUGUUCUGUGAUGAUACUUUAUAGCCAGGUUCCUCACGAGCUUUUGUGAUGCAUUGCAGGGACCGCCACACCGGCCAGCCAGUGCUACAGUGUCCUAAUGCAGAGAACGUAUAUUACACGGAACUGCGCUCCUUCAGAGUUAUUUAGAGUCUUUGUCAGAAGCACGUAACAGUAACAUUACUUGGUUACGGUGCUGCUACAUGGCAGAAUAUUUGAAUGGCAGAUGUCCCGAGUGCGGCAUCUCCAGCUUCUUGAGACGGGCACGUGGUAGUGCCACGAGUGGGAGGACGUACCGCAGGCGUGAGGUGGCUACUGCAUGGUACAGCCGCAGAGCCCACCUAGUGGUGCAGCUCUGUCCUCGGGCAACAAGCUGGGAGACUGCCUUGUGGACCCGGAGGACCUGGACAUGCAGGGUCUUGACAGCAGGCAGCCAGGUCAGCCGGUGAUCAACGUGUAGCCCCGGGUACGUCACUGCCGGGCUUCAAGGUUGCCUUCCAGUUGCAGCUGUGCAGCGGGCGGUUGCUCUUGGGUGGAGCAGCAUGGCCUCCGUCUUCCUUGCCGAGAUGGCAAGGCCAAUGCAGCUCAGUCUGCAGGACAGCAGGCAGUCGGGCCAGGUUGAACAUGAAAGGGCUCACCACUGAUCCUUGUGGGACGCCCUCUACCAAAUAGGUCCAGGGCCUGCUGAACGACUGGAUAGGGCAGGCCGUCAAAGGCCCCCUUCAUGCCGAUAAGCACCAGGAGCACGGCGUCACCGCAGGCCUUGGCCUCUUCCAGCGUGGAGACCACGUCCACGAUGGAGUCCGCACUGCAUCAGCUCCGCCGGAAGCCUAUCUGCUCAUCGGCCAGAAAGCAAUGGCCUCCAUCAGCUUGCAAGCAGCAGAGGAAGCCAUCAUCUGGUGCUGUGUACAGCAAGCACAUGCUUCGGGCAAGGAGGGAGCCAGCACCAUAUCUACAUCAGCAAGAACCUCGGAGCUCAAAAUAAACAAUUUCUGUGCAAA